GUGAAGAACACUUGUGUAAGCUAUUUGUGCCUAGUAUCUACAGCUAUAAAAAUUCAUAGAUUGUUAUUCCCGAUAACCUACACAAAACGUUACACAAAUUAUACUCCUCGUGUUAACGGUAGUACGGUUAGAAUUGUGCGAUAAAUUACCCAUGCAAACGAUUUUCUGUGAGUACAAACAUGCAAUUAACCUAAAACUUAAACUAAUUAAAAAUAAAAUUUACAGCUAAAGCUACAUUACCACCAACAUAACGGUGUUGUGAUUUGCUACAAGAAAACGACCAGGGGUUCGCAGUUCAUAACCACAACGGG